rnacentral:rRNA from 1 species
AAGCGUUUAUGACCAGACUUGGGCUUGGUUAAUCAUCUGGGGUUCUCCCCAGUGCACUUUUCCAGUCCAGGCCAGCAUCAGUUUUCCCCGGGGGAUAAAGGCGGCGGGAAUGUGGCCCUCUUCGGGGAGUGUUAUAGCC